rfam:Gossypium hirsutum cultivar TM-1 chromosome 24, whole genome shotgun sequence
UAUUAAAAUUUUAUGUAUUUUUACUGUUAAAAAUUACUAUAGCUGACAGAAUAACUAAACAGUUACACGUAGCGUGUCAUGUGUACCUCACUUUGACAUAUAUGAACAAAUUUUUAACAAUAAAAAUGAAUAGAAUUUUGAACA